rnacentral:rRNA from 1 species
UACGUAGGGAGCAAGCGUUGUCCGGAAUCAUUGGGCGUAAAGCGCGCGUAGGCGGCCCCGUAAGUCCGCUAUGAAAGUCAAAGGCUCAACCUUUGAAAGCCGGUGGAUACUGUGGGGCUAGAGUACGGAAGAGGCGAGUGGAAUUCCUGGUGUAGCGGUGGAAUGCGCAGAUAUCAGGAGGAACACCAAUAGCGAAGGCAGCUCGCUGGGACGUUACUGACGCUGAGGCGCGAAAGCGUGGGGAGCGAACAGGA